GCCCGGGUAGCUCAGUUUGGUAGAGCGUUAGGCUUUUAACCUGACGGUCCAGGGUUCGAGUGCCUGCUCGGGCG